rnacentral:rRNA from 2 species
UGGCCGGCGUGCCUAAUACAUGCAGUCGAGCGGAUCUUCAUUAGCUUGCUUUUGAAGAUCAGCGGCGGACGGGUGAGUAACACGUGGGCAACCUGCCUGUAAGACUGGGAUAACUUCGGGAAACCGGAGCUAAUACCGGAUAAUCCUUUCCCUCUCAUGAGGGAAAGCUGAAAGACGGUUUCGGCUGUCACUUACAGAUGGGCCCGCGGCGCAUUAGCUAGUUGGUGAGGUAACGGCUCACCAAGGCGACGAUGCGUAGCCGACCUGAGAGGGUGAUCGGCCACACUGGGACUGAGACACGGCCCAGACUCCUACGGGAGGCAGCAGUAGGGAAUCUUCCGCAAUGGACGAAAGUCUGACGGAGCAACGCCGCGUGAACGAUGAAGGCCUUCGGGUCGUAAAGUUCUGUUGUCAGAGAAGAACAAGUACCGGAGUAACUGCCGGUACCUUGACGGUACCUGACCAGAAAGCCACGGCUAACUACGUGCCAGCA